GGGGCGGGGCGCCGAGAAGAAACCUCACCUCUGUACAGGGCCUCAUGGCUUGGCCCCGGGGCCGGGGUAGAAGCUGCUUCUGUGUUCAGUGUGAGCUGGUGUUUACAGGUGACAACAGUAGACUCAGUAGAGUGUCUGUGUUUCUGAACUAUUUAAUUUCGUGUUCUGUUUAGAUGAAGAAAUAUUUAUGCAUACUUCACCAAGUGUCUAUUUAAUGUUGACAAAUAUUACUCUUCGGUCUUCGGCCGUGGCGUCCCUCGAAAGGGAUUCUUUCAGGUCCCCCCCCCCCCGCCCCCCGAGCAAGCCGUGCAGUCUGUGGAGCUUCGCAAGAGGCUGAGGAGAAGGCCAUGGGCAUCCUGAUGGCGGCGGCGAGCCCCCGACUCCUGGGGAAUAAAAGGCCGACUGUAACUUUGACGGAAACGGUGAAAACCACUCUUUCGUUGAACCUGAUGGACAAUGCACGAAGCAACCCUCCACCGUGGUGUUUGAAAUCACAUGACAAGGGUAAAAAAAAAAAAGGCAGAUCAGCAUAAUUAAAAGAAUCUUUUUUUUUUUUUUUUGGCCCACAUUCAACCAAAGAACAAGAAAAACCAGAGACUAUUUUCUAACGCAUAGAGCAAACUACGGAAUGUUCUGUGAUCCACCUGUGGAACGUCUGGUGAGCAAUGGCAUCUCUACCGUCCUACUCUGGGUGGCCCAGCAUGAAUAAACAUGUGAAUGCUGAUUCAAGUGUCCCAGGACUUCCCGAACUCCCCUUCUUUUUGAAACUCCUGUCCUGCCUUCCUCCCAAAGGGCUGUUUCCUGUAUUUCCAACAAAACUGGAGAGCAUUACCUGUGAGAAUCGGAGAAGCCCCCCCCCAGAGCUUGGGCAUUAACUGCGAAGAACUUGGGAACUUUUUACCAGACUGGUGAACUUCUGUGGUCCUCCCUGGCCGUCCUAGUAGGAGAAGUACUGACAGGGCCUGCAGAGGCCGGGAAGAUACGUUUUCCAUUUGUGCAAGUGAAGAUCUGUCGUUGGGCAUAAAACCUGGUCCACAUGCAGUUCUGCUUGGCGUGGGAAGUUAGGAGAGAAUCCAUUCUGUUCUGCAAGCAACGAAACAAAAGUCCUUUCUUAAUCCCUUCCUCAUCCAGUACCCGGGCUCUUCAGCCUCCCACCUACGACCCUCCAGAGAAACGUCCUUGGGGCUUGUGCUUGGAGCCAUGGAAGGCAACAUUGUGAGCAACAGCCCUUUUCUUUUUUUUUUAAACACACGGGAACUAAGCUGGUGCAGGUCUGAGGGAUAAUUAAAUGAAAACAGGCCUCCCUAAGUUGGGGAGUGAGCACGUUGAUUUCUGUGGGCAGGAAGCUUUGUGGGCAGCAACUGUGAUGCGUCCAGUGAUCACACCCUUCUCGUUCAUGAGGAUGUAGUGAGAAACCACUAUCCAAACAAAGAUGAUGGCUCUACAUUUGCUUUGUAAGCAAAAGGCAUGUAUCAUAGUUGCAUCCAAAAUAGUGUCCACAUCUUUACCAAAGGCACUGAAUUUUACCCGUUUUUAUGACCUGGUGGUCCCUCCCCUUCCUCAGGAGGCAUUUCAGGUGCCCCCCCCACCAUGCCACGCUCAUUCUUUCUCCUGAAAAUAUGUCCAUCAUCUGUACUAUAAAAUGAUGCCUGCAACUUUGUGGUGAUAUUAUCCCCCAAGUUUAACAGUGAAAAUAAGGAAAUAAAACUAUUAAUAAACAAA